rnacentral:tRNA from 1 species
ACUUACAUAUUUUAAGUUAGAGAAGGUUGCGUUGAAGUUGCAAAGGAGGAGGAGAUCCUGUAAGUG